GCCCUGAUGGUCUAGUGGUAUGAUUCACCCUUAGGGAGUCCUUGAGGAGUUUCAAUUGAGCACUGUGUUUCGUUGGGUGAGGUCCCCAGUUCAAUCCUGGGUUAGGGCC